rnacentral:rRNA from 1 species
CCGCGAAAUAAAGUAGUGAAGCGUGUGAGCCACGUGCCGAGAAAAGCUGCUAUUGUGUAAUGCGUGCCCGUACCGUAAACCGACACAGGUGGAUGAGGAGAGAAUCCUAAGGCCGGCGGAAGAAGCAUUGUUAAGGAAUUCGGCAAAAUGACCCCGUAACUUCGGGAGAAGGGGUGCCUGCGAGAGCAGGCCGCAGAGAAUAGGCUCAAGCAACUGUUUAGCAAAAACACAGGUCUAUGCGAAACCGAAAGGUGAAGUAUAUGGGCUGACGCCUGCCCGGUGCUGGAAGGUUAAGAGGAGAGGUUAGCUUCGGCGAAGCUUUGAAUUUAAGCCCCAGUAAACGGCGGCCGUAACUAUAACGGUCCUAAGGUAGCGAAAUUCCUUGUCGGGUAAGUUCCGACCCGCACGAAAGGCGUAAUGAUUUGAGCACUGUCUCGACAAUGCAUCCGGUGAAAUUGAAGUACCAGUGAAGAUGCUGGUUACCCGCGCCAGGACGGAAAGACCCCAUGGAGCUUUACUCCAGUUUGAUACUGGGAUUCGGUACUGCAUGUACAGGAUAGGUGGGAGACGAAGAAGGAUGGACGCCAGUCUGUCCGGAGUCGCUGUUGGGAUACCACCCCUGUAGUACUGGGUUUCUAACCAGUUGCCAUGAACUGGCAAUGGGACAAUGUCAGGCGGGGAGUUUGACUGGGGCGGUCGCCUCCGAAAGGGUAUCGGAGGCGCUCAAAGGUUCCCUCAGAAUGGUUGGAAACCAUUUGAAGAGUGCAAAGGCAGAAGGGAGCUUGACUGCGACACCGACGGGUGGAGCAGGUACGAAAGUAGGACUUAGUGAUCCGGUGGUAUAAAGUGGGAUUGCCAUCGCUCAACGGAUAAAAGCUACCCUGGGAUAACAGGCUUAUCACUCCCAAGAGUUCACAUCGACGGAGUGGUUUGGCACCUCGAUGUCGGCUCAUCGCAUCCUGGGGCUGUAGCAGGUCCCAAGGGUUGGGCUGUUCGCCCAUUAAAGCGGUACGCGAGCUGGGUUCAGAACGUCGUGAGACAGUUCGGUCCCUAUCCGGCGCGGGCGGAGGAUAUUUGAGAGGAGCUGUCCUUAGUACGAGAGGACCGGGAUGGACGGACCACUGGUGUAUCUGUUGUCGACCAACGGCAUGGCAGAGUAGCCAAGUCUGGAAGGGAUAAACGCUGAAGGCAUCUAAGCGUGAAGCCCCCCUCAAGAUGAGAUAUCCCUCCUUCGGGAGUAAGACCCCUUGAAGACUACAAGGUAGAUAGGGCAGAGGUGGAAGCAUGGCAACAUGUGGAGCUGACUGUUACUAAUAGGUCGAGGGCUUAAUAA